rnacentral:rRNA from 1 species
CACGUUCAGGAUUUUGGACUGCUCAGAGCGAACGCUGGCGGCAGGCCUAACACAUGCAAGUCGAACGAACUCUUCGGAGUUAGUGGCGGACGGGUGAGUAACACGUGGGAACGUGCCUUUAGGUUCGGAAUAACUCAGGGAAACUUGUGCUAAUACCGAAUGUGCCCUUCGGGGGAAAGAUUUAUCGCCUUUAGAGCGGCCCGCGUCUGAUUAGCUAGUUGGUGAGGUAAAGGCUCACCAAGGCGACGAUCAGUAGCUGGUCUGAGAGGAUGAUCAGCCACAUUGGGACUGAGACACGGCCCAAACUCCUACGGGAGGCAGCAGUGGGGAAUCUUGCGCAAUGGGCGAAAGCCUGACGCAGCCAUGCCGCGUGAAUGAUGAAGGUCUUAGGAUUGUAAAAUUCUUUCACCGGGGACGAUAAUGACGGUACCCGGAGAAGAAGCCCCGGCUAACUUCGUGCCAGCAGCCGCGGUAAUACGAAGGGGGCUAGCGUUGCUCGGAAUUACUGGGCGUAAAGGGAGCGUAGGCGGACAUUUAAGUCAGGGGUGAAAUCCCGGGGCUCAACCUCGGAAUUGCCUUUGAUACUGGGUGUCUUGAGUAUGAGAGAGGUGUGUGGAACUCCGAGUGUAGAGGUGAAAUUCGUAGAUAUUCGGAAGAACACCAGUGGCGAAGGCGACACACUGGCUCAUUACUGACGCUGAGGCUCGAAAGCGUGGGGAGCAAACAGGAUUAGAUACCCUGGUAGUCCACGCCGUAAACGAUGAUUGCUAGUUGUCGGGAUGCAUGCAUUUCGGUGACGCAGCUAACGCAUUAAGCAAUCCGCCUGGGAGACCGGCCCUUG